ACGGAAGUUUCUGGCAGAAAAGGGGGGAAGAAGUGGCUAUAUCUGGGUUGUACACUAAGUGAACUGAAUGUUCGACAUUCGAAGUCGAAGCCUGCCUUCAAGCCCUCAGCAUUCCGGGUAAUGUAGUUUCAAGCAGUACUUCCCGGGUAUUGUGGGAAAUGUAGUUCUAACCAAGAGGCACCUGGUCUUCUGAGGAACUUUUGCGCUAAAAAGGUACAAAGGGAAAAGGUGUUAGGGACGCAGUAAGCGGUACCGGCUCCGCAAGGAUGUGUCCGCUCCCCCUGAGAGCAAUAAUGCACCCGAAUCCUGCCGAUGGCUCCCGAAUGCUCACUCAAUUACAGAGAAGGAAAGGAACCAACUCCCAGGCCCCAUUUCUACACUCAAAAAGGGCAAGAUUGUGAGGGGGAACCACCAAGGGUUUGGAAUCAGGUGAUCCCUUGCCUGCUUUGUGAUUCUAGGCAUUGUUGCUUCAUCUCUCUUGACCUCAGCUGUUUCAACUUUACAGCACUGUAAGUUCCUAAAAUACUUCACGUCGUAGUGGGGAGUGGGGAUACCAGGAAGUACUAGAGCCAACAUGAAAAGCAAAAAAAUCCAAGUUGCCUCUCUCACAUUGGCUGCCGUAGCCCCAAGUCUAACUGCCUCUGGUUCAAGGCCCUGCCUGAAUGGAUCCAUUGUAUUUCCUACCACAUCCAAGUGUGCAAGAUGCUUGGCCGGCCAGGUAGCCUGUCAUUCAACCAAGAACAGUUUCUGCUGUGUGCCCGGUGCUGUGUUAGACUCACAGUGACAACAGUGACCAGAACAAUGAUGGUUCCUGAUAUUGCAGCAUUCAGACUCCAGUGGAGAACACAGCUAUCAAACACAUACUUGUGAACAAUUAAAUAAGUAAAUGAC